rnacentral:rRNA from 1 species
GGGUGAGUAACACGUGGGAACGUACCUUUCGGUUCGGAAUAAUUCAGGGAAACUUGGACUAAUACCGGAUACGCCCUUCGGGGGAAAGAUUUAUCGCCGAUAGAUCGGCCCGCGUCUGAUUAGCUAGUUGGUGAGGUAAAGGCUCACCAAGGCGACGAUCAGUAGCUGGUCUGAGAGGAUGAUCAGCCACAUUGGGACUGAGACACGGCCCAAACUCCUACGGGAGGCAGCAGUGGGGAAUAUUGGACAAUGGGCGCAAGCCUGAUCCAGCCAUGCCGCGUGAGUGAUGAAGGCCUUAGGGUUGUAAAGCUCUUUUGUCCGGGAAGAUAAUGACUGUACCGGAAGAAUAAGCCCCGGCUAACUUCGUGCCAGCAGCCGCGGUAAUACGAAGGGGGCUAGCGUUGCUCGGAAUCACUGGGCGUAAAGGGCGCGUAGGCGGACUUUUAAGUCGGAGGUGAAAGCCCAGGGCUCAACCCUGGAAUUGCCUUCGAUACUGGGAGUCUUGAGUUCGGAAGAGGUUGGUGGAACUGCGAGUGUAGAGGUGAAAUUCGUAGAUAUUCGCAAGAACACCAGUGGCGAAGGCGGCCAACUGGUCCGAUACUGACGCUGAGGCGCGAAAGCGUGGGGAGCAAACAGGAUUA